rnacentral:lncRNA from 1 species
GAUAUUGCGAAACCAAACUUGGUAUAAGAGCUCCCAACACUGCUAAACUGGUCAUCGCUAAACCUUUAAAAAAAAAAAAAAAGCAUUCGCUGGUACCCAGAUUUCCACAGGAGUUAAACAUUUCCUGCGCAGCUAAAGCAAGUCUUACCAGUAGGAAACCGGAACUUGCUAGGACUAAGAAACUUGAGGCUAGGCUGACCCCAUGGUUGUUAUGAUUAGAAAUCCGAGGCCACUGGAAACCCGGAGCUGCUGACCAACGAGUCACAGGGUAACUUCGCCUUCGCAUGGGGAAACGGGCUGGUGCAGUGGUGUCAUCUUGGCUCAGUGCAGCCUCGACUUCCUGGGAUCCAGCGAUCCUCCCGCUUCAGCCUCUAGAGUAGCCGAGACCACAGGAUUUGGAAGAGGGCAGGAGAGAAAAAUGAACUGCAAGACUCCAGCACAAGAGGUGGGAUUGCUGGCAGAUGUCUGCUCCCUCUCCAAACCUAAUGAACAUCUCAAAGUGCCAUCCACUUUCCUAUACCCUUGAUCUGUGAAAUGGAUCACUGACGCUUUCUCUGUCUUUCCGGAAAUGCAAAACAGGAACAGAAACAACACACUCAGACUUGAGAAACUGGUCUGGUUUAAAAGGGUUCCUGGCCUUACAGGUGGGUAAGAAAUGUCACUUCCUGGCAGGCUGAGGAACAUCAGGAUAUUUGGAGGACCUUGACAAGGGAAGAAUUCACCGAAAUCUAUAGAAAGAAAAGCCCCUAUAAAUGUGGCUCCUAAAUAUCCAGCCCUCGAGGUUGUUCCUUUGCAGGAGUCUGUUCCUUUUGGCCGGCUGCUGAACCUAGGGAGGCAGCGUGGGAUGGAGUUGGCAAACAUCCUGCAAGUCCACGACCCAUGAAGAGCCGCUAUGGUACCACUAGCAGUGCUAGGACCCAGAAACUAGCGAAACUGUUUAGGAGAAGCUGCGGGCUGGACCCACCAGCGGUGCUGCCACGGAGGUCAAUCCUGCUUUGACAAGUGAGCGGUGCUGCAACUGAGAAAGUUACAGUCUGAGGAACCAGGGGUACUGGGACACAGGAAAAGGAGUCAGCCAGCUUGCUUUAGGCACACAGUAAGGGAAGGGUCCCCAGAGAACCUCCGGAAUAAAAGAACUUGCACAGGCGCCUGGCCUAAAUGUGCCCUUGCUGACUAAGGGCCCGCAUAUGCACUGGGGCAAUGGGGGUGGAGCCACCAGGAAUUUGCGCCUUAUACAAACAGGGAACCUAGCCCCAUCAGCUUUUAAAUAAAAGCCCUUGUAUUUAAAUAUUAAGGGGGCAACCAGAAACCUGUUCUCAGGACCCCUCUUUUUGCUGUGAGCUUUCCUUUUCGCUUAGUAAAUUCUACUGCAC